UACGGGGGGAGCAAGCGUUGUUCGGAUUUACUGGGCGUAAAGGGCGCGUAGGCGGCGCAACAAGUCACUUGUGAAAUCUCCGGGCUUAACCCGGAGCGGUCAAGUGAUACUGUCGUGCUAGAGUGCGGAAGGGGCUACUGGAAUUCUCGGUGUAGCGGUGAAAUGCGUAGAUAUCGAGAGGAACACCUGCGGCGAUGGCGAGUCUCUGGACGACUCCUGACACUGAGGCACGAAAGCUAGGGGAGCAAACAGG
rnacentral:rRNA from 1 species